rnacentral:rRNA from 1 species
AACGUCGUGAGACAGUUCGGUCCCUAUCUGCCGUGGGUGUAGGAAUGUUGAAAGGAUCUGUCCCUAGUACGAGAGGACCGGGAUGGACGGAUCUCUGGUGGACCUGUUGUGGCGCCAGCCGCAUUGCAGGGUAGCUAUAUCCGGACGGGAUAACCGCUGAAGGCAUCUAAGCGGGAAACCCACCUUAAAACGAGCAUUCCCUGAGAACCGUGGAAGACGACCACGUUGAUAGGCCGGGUGUGGAAGCGCAGUAAUGUGUGAAGCUUACCGGUACUAAUCGUUCGAUCGGCUUGAUCGU